CAUGUAAAUGCCACCCACAGGCACAGGGACAUUGAGAAGAACUCUCAGGUAGACAAUCCAAGGUGGGAACAGCCUGCUAACCCCACGGCGACAGAGCCAGGGCAGGGGACCGGGACUGGGUUACCUGGGUGUGGGUUACAGACGUGGGCACCCUGAGGCCUUUUCAAAAUUCUAUGAGAGAGAGCAAGCAUCUCCCUGCUCCUGGCAAAAGUCACUACCAUCCCCCAGAGGCAUCGUGGAAUGUGGAGAUUGCUCAGAAUUCCUCUCUGCCAGUUCCAGUGCAUUUGCAAGGGAAGCCAGGUGGCCCUGACCUCGGAGAUGGGGCUACAGACGACAACUCUGAUGUUGGUGACCCUGCUGGAUGCUUCCUUAGCAUCUUAAAUUUCCUCCUGAUUUUCAGAAAGCUGCAGAGUGAAGGACCUGCCAUGGCUCUGGGGAUGCUGAAGGAGCUCACGAAGUCCUCAUGUGAUGCUGGGGGGCUGUCAUCUACACAAUGGAUGAGCAAGGAGGGUGGCAGAGCAGGCGGACCUCUGCCAACAGGAGGAAUGCCUCUGCAGACCCGCCCAGACUUCUGGGCCAUCCCCGUGGGCUGCAGCAGGAACUCGUGGCUGUGCCCAUGGCCUCCCAACAGAGCCCUUCAGCGUAGGACAGUGCUGGGCCGAGUGAUGGGACAUCACGGGCACCUGAUGUUAUGCAUCCGAGCUUCGUGUGGGAGGAGCACCCUCUCCAUGCAGCAGAAUGGCGCGCCUAGGGUGGAAGCCUCUGGGGCACUGAAGCCCCAGUAAGUCCUGCAACUCUGAUGAGGCUGCAGUGUCUUCCGUUUAUCCACAGGCACGACCACCCUUGUGUCUCGCUGCAGUUGCCAGCCCCACCAUUACCAUCUCACUCCCCCUGCCUGUGGCUCCUGGUCUGCCUGGGGACUGUCCAGAAACAGAGUGGCUGCAGAGCCACUGACACAUUCUCACAGUCCUGUCCAGCUCCUGCUGGCUGGGAUGGCUCUAAUGUUUGGGUCCACAUGUGAUCAGUCCCAGCCAUACAAGUACACCAUGUCGUAGGCUCUAGCCUUCUAAGAUUAUUGACUAACAGGGAUCCAUAGUGGGAUGAAACAUUUACAAAAUGACACAGUGUUUCUGCACUAUGAACGAACAAUACAACUUACGCUGGAACAGGGGAAGAUGAGAUUUAUUCCCCAAGUAUCAAUGCUAUUUACAACUCCCUUCUAUUUCUCUGCCUCGUUGGCUUCCAGUUUUCCUUUCCUUUCUAGGUUAUACAUGCU
rnacentral:lncRNA from 1 species